UUACGGCUACAUCAAGGUUGAAACACCGAUUCUCGUAUGAUCACUGAAGUUAAGCAACGUCGAGUCUGCUCAGUAACUAGAUGGGUAAACACUUGGGAAUACUAGGUGCUGUAAG